GCCUGGGUGGUUCAGUCGGUUGAGCAUUUGACUUCAGCUCAGGUUAUAAUCUUGAGGUUUGUGGGUUCGAGCCCCACAUCAGGCU
rnacentral:tRNA from 1 species